UAAUACGAAGGGAGCUAGCGUUGUUCGGAAUUACUGGGCGUAAAGGGCGCGUAGGCGAUUUGGCAAGUUGGAUGUGAAAGCCCUGGGCUUAACCCGGGAAUUGCAUUCAAGACUGCCUUAAUUGAAUUCGGUAGAGGUGAGUGGAAUUCCCAGUGUAGAGGUGAAAUUCGUAGAGAUUGGGAAGAACACCCGUGGCGAAGGCGGCUCACUGGACCGACAUUGACGCUGAGGCGCGAAAGCGUGGGGAGCAAACAGGAUUAGAUACCCUGGUAGUCCACGCCGUAAACGAUGCAUGCUAGACGUUGGAAGCCUUAGGUUUCCCGUGUCGCAGCUAACGCAAUAAGCAUGCCGCCUGGGGAGUACGGCCGCAAGGUUGAAACUCAAAUGAAUUGACGG
rnacentral:rRNA from 1 species